GGGCUCAUAGCUCAAUCGGUCAGAGCACCCGGCUCAUAACCGGGCGUGUGCUGGUUCGAAUCCAGCUGAGCCUA
rnacentral:tRNA from 1 species